rnacentral:rRNA from 1 species
AGAGAUCUGGAGGAAUACCGGUGGCGAAGGCGGCCCCCUGGACAAAGACUGACGCUCAGGUGCGAAAGCGUGGGGAGCAAACAGGAUUAGAUACCCUGGUAGUCCACGCCGUAAACGAUGUCUACUUGGAGGUUGUGCCCUUGAGGCGUGGCUUCCGGAGCUAACGCGUUAAGUAGACCGCCUGGGGAGUACGGCCGCAAGGUUAAAACUCAAAUGAAUUGACGGGGGCCCGCACAAGCGGUGGAGCAUGUGGUUUAAUUCGAUGCAACGCGAAGAACCUUACCUGGUCUUGACAUCCACAGAAGAAUCCAGAGAUGGAUUUGUGCCUUCGGGAACUGUGAGACAGGUGCUGCAUGGCUGUCGUCAGCUCGUGUUGUGAAAUGUUGGGUUAAGUCCCGCAACGAGCGCAACCCUUAUCCUUUGUUGCCAGCGAUUAGG